rnacentral:rRNA from 1 species
CCCUCGGGGGGCAGCAGUGGGGGAUAUUGCACAAUGGGGGGAACCCUGAUGCAGCGACGCCGCGUGGGUGAAGAAGUAUUUCGGUAUGUAAAGCCCUAUCGGCAGGGAAGAAUUUAGACGGUACCUGACUAAGAAGCCCCGGCUAACUACGUGCCAGCAGCCGCGGUAAUACGUAGGGGGCAAGCGUUAUCCGGAUUCACUGGGUGGAAAGGGAGCGUAGACGGGCAUGCAAGCCUGGAGUGAAAGCCCGGGGCCCAACCCCGGGACUGGUCUGGGCACCG